rnacentral:lncRNA from 1 species
GCAACGUUCUUUAGAAAAAAUAAAGCAUAGAAUGUCUUCCAAGCAAAAGACAGAACUUUCUUCAUGACUUUUCUGUUGGAGCAUGGAGGUUGCCAUAACAAUUAAUAGGCGGUGAUAUUCAGAGUGGCAUCUAGAAGUUUCUUCACUGCGUUUUUGUUGGAGAAUGGAGGUUGCCAUAACAAUUGACAGGCGGUGGAUAUUCAGAGUGACAUCUAGAAGAAGGUUUGAAAAUUUUGACGUUGACAAUAAAGACAAACCUCAGAAUCAAACUACUCCCUCAGUUUCAUAUUAAGUGUCGUUGUAGAAAAUUCUUUUUGUUACAAAAUAAGUAUCGUUUUCGAUUUUCAAUGC